rnacentral:rRNA from 1 species
GACGAACGCUGGCGGCGUGCUUAACACAUGCAAGUCGAACGGAAAGGCCAUGCUUUUGUGGGGUGCUCGUGUGGCGAGCGGGUGAGUAACACGUGUGUAACAUUCCCUUGAAUUUGGGAUAACUUCUGGGAACUGGGGCUAAUACCGGAUAUAAGCUCCUGAUGCAUAGUGGUGGUUGGAAAGUUUCGGCGGUUCGGGCUGGUCUCGCGGCUUAUCAGCUUGUUGGUGGGGUAGUGGCUUACCCAGGCUUUGACGGGUAGCCGGCCUUAGAGGGUGACCGGGCACAAUGGGACUGCGAGACGGACCUGACUCGUACGGGAGGCAGCAGUGGGGAAUAUUGCACAAUGGGCGGAAGCCUGAUGCAGCAACGCCGCGUGCGGGAUGACGGCCUUCGGGUUGUAAACCGCUUUCGCAUGAGACGAAGAGUGAGUGACGGUAAUGGGUAAAGAAGCACCGGCUAACUACGUG